CCACCCUUUAAUGUUUGAUGUUCUAACGUGGACCCGUAAUCCGGGUUGCGGACAGUGUCUGGUGGGUAGUUUGACUGGGGCGGUCUCCUCCUAAAGAGUAACGGAGGAGCACGAAGGUUGGCUAAUCCUGGUCGGACAUCAGGAGGUUAGUGCAAUGGCAUAAGCCAGCUUGACUGCGAGCGUGACGGCGCGAGCAGGUGCGAAAGCAGGUCAUAGUGAUCCGGUGGUUCUGAAUGGAAGGGCCAUCGCUCAACGGAUAAAAGGUACUCCGGGGAUAACAGGCUGAUACCGCCCAAGAGUUCAUAUCGACGGCGGUGUUUGGCACCUCGAUGUCGGCUCAUCACAUCCUGGGGCUGAAGUAGGUCCCAAGGGUAUGGCUGUUCGCCAUUUAAAGUGGUACGCGAGCUGGGUUUAGAACGUCGUGAGACAGUUCGGUCCCUAUCUGCCGUGGGCGCUGGAGAAUUGAGGGGGGCUGCUCCUAGUACGAGAGGACCGGAGUGGACGCAUCACUGGUGUUCGGGUUGUCAUGCCAAUGGCACUGCCCGGUAGCUAAAUGCGGAAGAGAUAAGUGCUGAAAGCAUCUAAGCACGAAACUUGCCCCGAGAUGAGUUCUCCCUGACUCCUUGAGAGUCCUGAAGGAACGUUGAAGACGACGACGUUGAUAGGCCGGGUGUGUAAGCGCAGCGAUGCGUUGAGCUAACCGGUACUAAUGAACCGUGAGGCUUAACCUUACAACGCCGAAG
rnacentral:rRNA from 1 species